UGAUGUUUUCCAGGGUCCCGUAGGAGGGGAGGCUCUCCUACCCUCAGAAGUCUCUGCAGGGCACUCUGAAACUGGUAGGGUGAAAACAGGCAUUUGAGCUGAGUUGGUUUUGUAAGACAUCUUCCUGAGGCCUAGUGAGACUCCAAAUAAUCUAUUAGAGUUGUUUAGUGCUGUAGCACUGUUCGAAAAAUGGAUACCAGCUUGGGCCUUCUUUGUGCGUGAAAAUAAGAAACAUGAAAAUUUCUUUAAGAAAAAAAAAGUUGAGAUUUGGGGAAUGUCCCCUCUUGAAAAGUCACAGAAAGUAACUGUAGCGAAACUGCGAAUUUUUGGUCAACUUGGAUGGAAUCAUUGGUUACGCAGAAUCGAAAGAAGGCUUUGGAGAAAGCAAGCUUGGCAUCUUACAGACACCAAAGGGAAGCAUCAGUCAGACAUGUCUGAGCCCCGUGGUCUUCAAUUUCCAAAGCUUUACAGAAAAAGGAGCCAUUAUUCCAAGCCUGAAAUCAUUAUAAAGGAUGAGGGCCCACAAAGGAUGAAAUACUCUCAAAAAUUAAAUUCUGGCAAUAUAAUUACAAAUGAUUUUUUGAUGAGGAAAAGGAGAAGACGUCUAUAAAAAUCGAUGCGGCUAGACUUUCUGAUUAAUCCCAUUUUAAAAGAACACGUACGCGAGAUGUAAGGACAGGCACGAUAGAACAGAAAAGACAGGUGAACAGUGAGCCAAAAUCGACCCACUCUCACGCAUAUCCGCCAGUCGUUCUCCUGCCCGACUUUACUUCACGUUGCCGUCCAGUUGGAGCACCAGAUGACCACGGUUACUACACUUGACCUACGCUGUCUAAAGCUGUGCUGUCCCUCAUCCCGUCCUCGACUGGCUUUCGUGUCCGUGUUUGCUUAAUAGGCAGAGAAGAUAGAUACUCCGUCCAGAUGCCCGUUCUUAAGGGUUCAGCGCCAUGGGGAUUUUCCUUUUGCAAAGAGAAGUUCAUGAGCCCUCAUCCCUGCUCCUUACAGCCCCGUCCAGCCUGCAGCCCCUUCCCCGCAUCUACCAUCAAUAAAAGCUGAGUUUCAGGGCA